GCUGUUCCUGCCAAGCCAGGCAGAAUAGCUGAAUCGCGACUUCUAACGCAGACUCAUUACCGAGUCUUUUGAUUUCUGAGUGAAUUAACUUAAGAAAGCGCAUCGACAAAACGCUCUACCAUCCACGUGUACCGAGGGCAACUCUGGACCGGUUCCGUUCGACACCUACGUCUCCUGUCAGCCGCCGGUGUCAUCUGGAUGAACCACAACGUCCUCCACGGCCCGGAUCCGAAAGAGGGUCCACAAGAGUUCGAUGUAAGGCGAUGCUGCUUCGUCUUCAAAAUCUAGUUGGAAAGAGGAGAGACUAAUCUGAGAUCUGCUGGAAAAAGGCAGAAGACAGGAAAUGAGAAAAGACGAGAGGCUUCUACUUCACUGCUGACCGCAGGCCCUUGUGACAAAGUUUGGACCACAUCACCAACUUCAGGACCAACUCCAGCUCCUCACACUACCUUCCAAAUGAACUCAAUGCAUUCUCCACACACCUCCCAUAGUGCAUAUUGUCAUUGUCGGCAGGAUACAAGGCAGGUGAUCUUUUAUGCUUCUGAAGAACCGUGAACUACUUGGUUUGAGAUCAUGAGCCUAAGCUGGAGGGUGACGGGUCACCUGUGGGAGUUCAAUCCUACUUUCUUUCCCCCAGAGAAGCAAAAUGGAUCUGCUGCUGCGGAGCAGGUUCAAUAAUUCCAU